rnacentral:rRNA from 1 species
GAUGAACGCUGGCGGCGUGCCUAAUACAUGCAAGUCGAGCGAACAGACGAGAGUGCUUGCACUCUCUGACGUUAGCGGCGGACGGGUGAGUAACACGUGGGUAACCUACCUAUAAGACUGGGAUAACUUCGGGAAACCGGAGCUAAUACCGGAUAAUAUUUAGCUUCGCAUGAAGCAAUAGUGAAAGACGGUUCUGCUGUCACUUAUAGAUGGACCCGCGGUGUAUUAGCUAGUUGGUGAGGUAACGGCUCACCAAGGCAACGAUACAUAGCCGACCUGAGAGGGUGAUCGGCCACACUGGGACUGAGACACGGCCCAGACUCCUACGGGAGGCAGCAGUAGGGAAUCUUCCGCAAUGGACGAAAGUCUGACGGAGCAAUGCCGCGUGAGUGAAGAAGGUUUUCGGAUCGUAAAACUCUGUUGUAAGGGAAGAACAAGUACGUUAGUAACUGAACGUACCUUGACGGUACCUUACCAGGAAGCCACGGCUAACUACGUG